AUACCUUUCUCGGCCUCUGGCUAAGAUCAAGUGUAGUAUCUGUUCUUAUCAGUUUAAUAUCUGAUAUGUGAUCCUACGGGUUCACAUGAUAUAUUAAAUUAAUUUUUUCUGGGGAAGGGACAGCCUCAGUAGCUCGCUGCUGGGCUCCUAGGGUCGACUGAGCAUUGCACUACUGCUCUCGCUUGGCGCACCCCAA